rnacentral:rRNA from 1 species
CCUACGGGGGUCAGCAGUGAGGAAUAUUGGUCAAUGGACGAGAGUCUGAACCAGCCAAGUAGCGUGAAGGAUGACUGCCCUAUGGUUUGUAAACUUCUUUUAUAUGGGAAUAAAAUGUUCCACGUGUGUGAUUUUGUAUGUACCAUAUGAAUAAGGAUCGGCUAACUCCGUGCCAGCAGCCGCGGUAAUACGGAGGAUCCGAGCGUUAUCCGGAUUUAUUGGGUUUAAAGGGAGCGUAGGUGGAUUGUUAAGUCAGUUGUGAAAGUUUGCGGCUCAACCGUAAAAUUGCAGUUGAAACUGGCAGUCUUGAGUACAGGAGAGGUGGGCGGAAUGCGUGGUGUAGCGGUGAAAUGCUUAGAUAUCACGAAGAACUCCGAUUGCGAAGGCAGUUCACUGGACUGCAACUGACACUGAGGCUCGAAAGUGUGGGUAUCAAACAGGAUUAGAUACCCUUGUAGUC